UCAUCGUCACAGCCAUCAAACACAAGCUCACUACCGCACUACCAUCAUCCUAUUUCCGCCGUCAAACACAAGCUCUCACCACCUCUGUUGUCAUCACUAUCUCACGAUCUCCGCCGGCAUCGUCACCGUCGGCAUCCUCAUCCUAUUUCCAUAGUCCCCUCACCCAAUCCCAGCUAUUCCGGCAAUUGCCGCCACCGUUGUCAGUCUUAAAUUUGUGUAAAAUCUCUACAAGCUCUCACCAUCUCCGUUGUCAUCACCCUCUCACGAUCUCCGCCGGUGUCGUUCAGCCAAUCCUAGCUAUUCCGGCAAUCGCCAUCACCGUUGUCAGUCUUAAAUUUGUGGAAAAUCUCCAUUCACAGAGAAGCACACAAAGAUCUGAAAAAGAGAAGGAGUUGUCUCAAUUGUUUUUCUUGUGCCACUAGUUUUUCAUCUCUAGCCCAUCAUCCAAAUCAAGAAUACUAUGGCAGAGCAAAAAAUUGUCUCCUCUGAACUAUGCAAGAAGGGGAUAGAAGCUGGGUCUUCAAGUUUAGAAAUUUUGAAUGAAGAAAAUGAAGCCAUGGUAAAUAUGGAAGUACCAACAUGUGGAAAAGUUGUUCCAAAAGCAGGCAUGAAGCUCAAUUCUCAAGAAGAAGUAUACAAUCUGUACAUUGAAUAUGCUCGACAAGAAGGUUUUGGUAUUACCAAACGAAGUACAAGAUUAGGAGAAGAUGGAAAAUUGAAAUAUUACACACUUGCAUGUGUAAGAGGUGGCAAAAGAAUAUCAACCGCCAAAAAUGCUUUCAACCCAAGACUAUCUACUAAGAUGAAUUGUCAAGCCAAGAUGAAUGUUAUAAUCAGUGAUAAUGGACAGUGUACUAUAUCGCGUGUUAAUUUGGAACACAAUCAUGCACUUAGUCCACAGAAAUCUCGUUUUCAGAGAUGCAAUAAAAAAAAUGGAUGGAUAUGUGAAAAGAAGACUUGAGUUAAAUGAUCAAGCAUGCAUAGGCUUGAGUAAGAAUUUUCAUUCUUUAGCGGUUGAAAGUGGUGGUUAUGAGAAUUUAACAUAUACUGAAAAAGAUUGCAGAAAUUACAUUGCAAAA